rnacentral:rRNA from 1 species
GACGAACGCUGGCGGCGUGCCUAAUACAUGCAAGUCGAACGCAGUGGGGACGGGUGAGUAACACGUGGGUAACCUCCCAUCAGAGGGGAUAACACUUGGAAACAGGUGCUAAACCGAUACUGAUGGAUGGACCCGCGGUGCAUUAGCUAGUUGGUGAGGUAACGGCUCACCAAGGCGACGAUGCAUAGCCGAGCGUAGAGGGUGAUCGGCCACACUGGGACUGAGACACGGCCCAGACUCCUACGGGAGGCAGCAGUAGGGAAUCUUCGGCAAUGGACGAAAGUCUGACCGAGCCACGCCGCGUGAGUGAAGAAGGUUUUCGGAUUGUAAAACUCGGUUGGUUGAGAAGCGGUAUCUAAAGAAAAAGCAACGGCUAACUACGUGCCAGCAGCCGCGGUAAUUC